GACAGAGGUCCCGAGCGUUAGGCGGAAUCACUGGGCUGAAAGCGUGUGUAGGCGGCGGCCUAAGUACCUUGUGAAAUCCCACGGCUCACCCGUGGAACUGCUCGGUAUACUGGGUCGCUUGAGCCACUUAGGGGCUACCGGAACAAAUGGUGGAGCGGUGAAAUGCGUAGAUAUCAUUUGGAACGCCAAUGGUGAAAACAGGUAGCUGGGAGUGUGCUGACGCUGAGACACGAAAGCCAGGGGAGCAAACGGG
rnacentral:rRNA from 1 species